GCCGUGGUGGCGGAAUGGUAGACGCAGGCGACUUAAAAUCGCCCGGGUUAUCCCGUGCGGGUUCGAGUCCCGCCCUCGGCA
rnacentral:tRNA from 1 species